UACAGAGGGUGCAAGCGUUGUUCGGAAUUAUUGGGCGUAAAGCGCGUGUAGGCGGCUUUGCAAGUCGGGUGUGAAAUCCCUCGGCUCAACCGAGGAAGUGCGCCCCGAAACUGCAGAGCUUGAGUGCCGGAGAGGAUGGCGGAAUUCCCCAAGUAGAGGUGAAAAUUCGUAGAUAUGGGGGAGGAACACCGGUGGCGAAGGCGGCCAUCUGGACCAGCACUGACACUGAGGCACGAAAGCGUGGGGAGCAAACAGG
rnacentral:rRNA from 1 species